UUGUCUCAAAGAUUAAGCCAUGCAUGUCUCAGUACAAGCCUAAUUAAGGUGAAACCGCGAAAGGCUCAUUAAAUCAGUUAUGGUUCCUUAGAUCGUACCCACAUUUACUUGGAUAACUGUGGUAAUUCUAGAGCUAAUACAUGCAAACAGAGCUCCGACCGGAGACGGAAGGAGCGCUUUUAUUAGAUCAAAACCAAUCGGUGGCGGUUUAUCCGUCAUCGUACAAUUUGGUGACUCUGAAUAACUUUACGCUGAUCGCACGGUCUUGCACCGGCGACGCAUCUUUCAAAUGUCUGCCUUAUCAACUGUCGAUGGUAGGUUCUGCGCCUACCAUGGUUGUAACGGGUAACGGGGAAUCAGGGUUCGAUUCCGGAGAGGGAGCCUGAGAAACGGCUACCACAUCCAAGGAAGGCAGCAGGCGCGCAAAUUACCCACUUCCGGCACGGGGAGGUAGUGACGAAAAAUAACGAUACGGGACUCAUCCGAGGCCCCGUAAUCGGAAUGAGUACACUCUAAACCCUUUAACGAGGAUCAAUUGGAGGGCAAGUCUGGUGCCAGCAGCCGCGGUAAUUCCAGCUCCAAUAGCGUAUAUUAAAGUUGUUGCGGUUAAAAAGCUCGUAGUCGAAUCUGUGUCCCGCGCCGCCGGUUCAUCGUUCGCGGUGUUAACUGGCGUGUCGCGGGACGUCCUGCCGGUGGGCUUAGCUCGAGAGGGCGGCCCAACUCAAUCCCGCCGCGGUGCUCUUCAUUGAGUGUCGAGGUGGGCCGGCACGUUUACUUUGAACAAAUUAGAGUGCUUAAAGCAGGCUAAAACUUCGCCUGAAUACUGUGUGCAUGGAAUAAUGGAAUAGGACCUCGGUUCUAUUUUGUUGGUUUUCGGAACCCCGAGGUAAUGAUUAAUAGGAACGGAUGGGGGCAUUCGUAUUGCGACGUUAGAGGUGAAAUUCUUGGAUCGUCGCAAGACGGAC
rnacentral:rRNA from 1 species